GACGAACGCUGGCGGCGUGCCUAAUACAUGCAAGUCGAACGCAUUUUCUUUCACCGUAGCUUGCUACACCGAAAGAAAAUGAGUGGCGAACGGGUGAGUAACACGUGGGUAACCUGCCCAUCAGCGGGGGAUAACACUUGGAAACAGGUGCUAAUACCGCAUAAUUCCAUUUACUGCAUGGUAGAUGGAUGAAAGGCGCUUUUGCGUCACUGAUGGAUGGACCCGCGGUGCAUUAGCUAGUUGGUGGGGUAACGGCCUACCAAGGCUGCGAUGCAUAGCCGACCUGAGAGGGUGACCGGCCAACCGGGGACUGAGACAGGGCCCAGACUCCUCCGGGAGGCAGCAGUGGGGAAUCUUCGGCAAGGGACGCAAGUCUGACCGAGCAACCCCGCGUGAGUGAAGAAGGUUUUGGGAUCGUAAAACCCUGUUGUUAGAAAAAAACAAGGAUGGGGGGGGAAAGUUCAUCCCUUGACGGUAUCUAACCAGAAAGCCACGGCUAACUACGU
rnacentral:rRNA from 1 species